rnacentral:rRNA from 1 species
UAGGCUGCAACUCGCCUACACGAAGUGGAAUUGCUAGUAAUCGUGGAUCAGCACGCCACGGUGAAUACGUUCCCGGGUCUUGUACACACCGCCCGUCACACCAUGGGAGCUGGUAACACCCGAAGUCAGUAGUCUAACCGCAAGGAGGACGCUGCCGAAGGUGGGAUUAGCGACUGGGGUGAAGUCGUAACAAGGUAAC